AGGGUUCGAUCCUGGCUCAGGACGAACGCUGGCGGCGUGCGUAACCCAUGCAAGUCGAACGAGUAGAUUUCCUUCGGGAGAGAAGCGAGUGGCGGACGGGUGAGUAACGCGUGAACAACCAACCCUAUACAGGGGGACAACAGCUGGAAACGGCUGCUAAUACCGCAUAAGACCACAAGGCCGCAUGACCAAGAGGUCAAAGGAGCAAUCCGGUAUAGGACGGGUUCGCGUCCCAUUAGCUAGUAGGCGGGGUAAAGGCCCACCUAGGCGACGAUGGGUAGCCGAGCUGAGAGGCUGAACGGCCACACUGGGACUGAGAUACGGCCCAG
rnacentral:rRNA from 1 species